rnacentral:rRNA from 1 species
CUCUGCGAUGGGAGGACGGAGAAGGCUAGGCCAGCAACCUAUUGGAUGGUUGUUUAAGCGUUUAGGUGGGGUCCUUAGGCAAAUCCGGGAACCCAUUCAACACUGAGGCGUGAUGACGAGGCACUACGGUGCUGAAGUGGAUGAUGCCAUGCUUCCAAGAAAAGUCCCUAAGCUUCAGGUUAGUGUUGACCGUACCCCAAACCGACACAGGUGGGUAGGAUGAGAAUUCCAAGGCGCUUGAGAGAACUCGGAUGAAGGAACUAGGCAAAAUGGUACCGUAACUUCGGGAGAAGGUACGCCCACGCAAGUGGGCCGCAGAGACCAGGCCGCUGCGACUGUUUAUCAAAAACACAGCACUCUGCAAACUCGAAAGAGGACGUAUAGGGUGUGACGCCUGCCCGGUGCCGGAAGGUUAAUUGAUGGGGUUAGCGCAAGCGAAGCUCUUGAUCGAAGCCCCGGUAAACGGCGGCCGUAACGAUAACGGUCCUAAGGUAGCGAAAUUCCUUGUCGGGUAAGUUCCGACCUGCACGAAUGGCGUAACGAUGGCGGCACUGUCUCCAUCCGAGACUCAGUGAAAUUGAAAUCGCUGUGAAGAUGCAGUGUACCCGCGGCUAGACGGAAAGACCCCGUGAACCUUUACUAUAGCUUUGUAUUGAACUUUGAACCUACUUGUGUAGGAUAGGUGGGAGACUAUGAAACUGGAACGCUAGUUCUGGUGGAGUCGUCCUUGAAAUACCACCCUGGUAUGUUCGGAGUUCUAACCCAGGUAUCACAAUGCCGGGGACAAUACAUGGUGGGUAGUUUGACUGGGGCGGUCUCCUCCUAAAGAGUAACGGAGGAGCGCGAAGGUGUGCUAAUCACGGUCGGAAAUCGUGAGGUUUGUGUAAAGGCAUAAGCACGCUUGACUGCGAGACAGACAAGUCGAGCAGGUACGAAAGUAGGUCUUAGUGAUCCGGUGGCUCUGAAUGGAAGGGCCAUCGCUCAACGGAUAAAAGGUACUCCGGGGAUAACAGGCUGAUUCCUCCCAAGAGUCCAUAUCGACGGGGGAGUUUGGCACCUCGAUGUCGGCUCAUCACAUCCUGGGGCUGAAGCAGGUCCCAAGGGUAUGGCUGUUCGCCAUUUAAAGUGGUACGCGAGCUGGGUUCAGAACGUCGUGAGACAGUUCGGUCCCUAUCUGCCGUGGGCGUUGGAGAUUUGAGGGAAGCUGACCUUAGUACGAGAGGACCGGGUUGGACGAACCUCUGGUGUUCCUGUUGUCACGCCAGUGGCAUUGCAGGGUAGCUAUGUUCGGACGGGAUAACCGCUGAAAGCAUCUAAGCGGGAAGCCCCUCCCAAGAUGAGAUCUCCCUGACCCCUUGAGGGUCCUAAAGGGCCGUUGGAGACUACGACGUUGAUAGGCUGGGUGUGGAAGUGCAGUAAUGUAUGUAGCUAACCAGUACUAAUUGC